GUAGUCUGCAACCCGACUACAUGAAGCUGGAAUCGCUAGUAAUCGCGGAUCAGAAUGCCGCGGUGAAUACGUUCCCGGGUCUUGUACACACCGCCCGUCACACCAUGGGAGUCGGAAAUGCCCGAAGUCUGUGACCCAACCGCGAGGAGGGAGCAGCCGAAGGCAGGUCGGAUGACCGGGGUGAAGUCGUAACAAGGUAAC
rnacentral:rRNA from 1 species